CUGCAGCCAAUUAAGCCAACUGUGCCCUUUCUCCAUGGGCACCCAGCUUGCUAUCACUACAAAUAGCCUGCUUGCUAGUGUAUGCAGCCUGUUGAUUGUAUGGGUUGCCCUAAGGGACCUUGGAGACAGUC